rnacentral:miRNA from 1 species
AGGCAGGAAGACUGCCUGAGCCUAGGAGUUGGAGGUUGCAGUGAGCUGUGAUGACACCAUUGCACUCUAGGCUGGGCAACAGAGUGAGACCUUGUUUC